AUUGUUUGUACCGAGCCUUUGCCAAAAGAUUGCGUGCCAAGAAUCGUUGCACGGCGAUGAUCCUGCAAGGCGCCAGCGACGAUUUCGGAAGCACUGGCCGACCCGCCAUUGAUGAGAACAAUCAACGGCUUGCCAUUGGAUAUGUCGCCCGGUUUUGCGUCAAAGCGCAUGACUUCUGCCUGAUCACGUCCACGCGUUGAAACAAUUUCACCUUUAUCAAGGAAUGCAUCCGAUACACUGACAGCCUGAUCCAGUAAUCCACCCGGAUUCAAACG
rnacentral:ncRNA from 1 species